rnacentral:rRNA from 1 species
UACAGAGGUGGCAAGCGUUGUUCGGAAUUACUGGGCGUAAAGGGCGCGUAGGCGGCCCGAUAAGUCCCGCGUGAAAUCCCUCGGCUCAACCGAGGAACUGCGCGGGAAACUGUCGAGCUUGAGUUCGGGAGAGGGAAGCGGAAUUCCGGGUGUAGCGGUGAAAUGCGCAGAUAUCCGGAGGAACACCGGUGGCGAAGGCGGCUUCCUGGACCGACACUGACGCUGAGGCGCGAAAGCUAGGGGAGCAAACGGG